rnacentral:rRNA from 1 species
AGCUCCAAUAGCGUAUAUUAAAGUUGUUGCAGUUAAAAAGCUCGUAGUUGGAUAUCUGGUAGGAGCGACCGUGCCGAACUUGAUUGUUCGUGUAUUGUGUUGUCUCCAACCAUCCUUGUGGAGAACUUUUCUUGCAUUAAUUUGUAAGGAUUGAGACCCGCAUCGUUUACUGUGAAGAAAUUAGAGUGUUUAAAGCAGGCAAUCGCUUGAAUACAUUAGCAUGGAAUAACAAGAUAGGACUUUGGUACUAUUUUGUUGGUUUGUAUACCAAAUUAAUGAUCAGUAGGAACAGUUUGAGGAUAUUCGUAUGAACAUGUCAGAGGUGAAAUUCUUGGAUUUUGAUCAGACGAACUACUGCGAAAGCAUUUAUCAAGGAUGUUUUCAUUAAUCAAGAACGAAA